CAAUGAAUAAGAAGCAUGGUAAUGUGCAUGUAAAUUGAAUUGGGUUCUCUAGGCCUUCUCUCUCUGAUGCCAUUUGAUUUUGAUUUGGGGCAUGAUUCUGCAGCAAAACA